UAAGGAAUAUUGGUCAAUGGGCGCAAGCCUGAACCAGCCAUGCCGCGUGCAGGAAGACGGCCCUACGGGUUGUAAACUGCUUUUGUACCGGAAUAAACCCUUUUACGUGUAAGAGGCUGAAUGUACGGUAAGAAUAAGGAUCGGCUAACUCCGUGCCAGCAGCCGCGGUAAUACGGAGGAUCCAAGCGUUAUCCGGAUUUAUUGGGUUUAAAGGGUGCGUAGGCGGCCUGUUAAGUCAGGGGUGAAAGCGGAUAGCUCAACUAUCCAAGUGCCCUUGAUACUGACGGGCUUGAAUGCAGCUGAAGUAGGCGGAAUGUGACAAGUAGCGGUGAAAUGCAUAGAGAUGUCACAGAACACCGAUUGCGAAGGCAGCUUACUAAAGUGCGAUUGACGCUGAGGCACGAAAGCGUGGGGAUCAAACAG
rnacentral:rRNA from 1 species